UAGGAUACCUGGCUCUCACCCAGGAGGCUCGGGUUCGAUUCCCGGUACCGGAA
rnacentral:tRNA from 1 species